rnacentral:rRNA from 1 species
AGAGUUUGAUCCUGGCUCAGGAUGAACGCUGGCGGCGUGCUUAACACAUGCAAGUCGAACGAAGCAGUUGCGAGGAAGUUUUCGGAUGGAAUUGCGAUUGACUGAGUGGCGGACGGGUGAGUAACGCGUGGGUAACCUGCCUCACACAGGGGGAUAACAGUUAGAAAUGACUGCUAAUACCGCAUAACCCGCUAGGGCCGCAUGGCCCGGACGGAAAAGAAAUAUCGGUGUGAGAUGGACCCGCGUCUGAUUAGCUGGUUGGUAGGGUAACGGCCUACCAAGGCGACGAUCAGUAGCCGACUUGAGAGAGUGAUCGGCCACAUUGGGACUGAGACACGGCCCAAACUCCUACGGGAGGCAGCAGUGGGGAAUAUUGCACAAUGGGGGAAACCCUGAUGCAGCGACGCCGCGUGACUGAAGAAGUACUUCGGUAUGUAAAGGUCUAUCAGCAGGGAAGAAGAAAGACGGUACCUGACUAAGAAGCCCCGGCUAACUACGUGCCAGCAGCCGCGGU